rnacentral:rRNA from 1 species
UGGGGAAUUUUGGACAAUGGGCGCAAGCCUGAUCCAGCAAUGCCGCGUGUGUGAAGAAGGCCUUCGGGUUGUAAAGCACUUUUAUCAGGAGCGAAACGCUGUCGGCUAAUACCCGGCGGAACUGACGGUACCUGAGGAAUAAGCACCGGCUAACUUCGUGCCAGCAGCCGCGGUAAUACGAAGGGUGCAAGCGUUAAUCGGAAUUACUGGGCGUAAAGCGUGCGUAGGCGUUUCUUAAGUCUGCUGUGAAAUCCCCGGGCUCAACCUGGGAAUGGCAGUGGAUACUGGGAGGCUAGAGUGUGUCAGAGGGUGGUGGAAUUCCCGGUGUAGCGGUGAAAUGCGUAGAGAUCGGGAGGAACAUCAGUGGCGAAGGCGGCCACCUGGGACAACACUGACGCUGAGGCACGAAAGCGUGGGGGAGCAAACAGGAUUAGAUACCCUGGUAGUCCACGCCCUAAACGAUGCGAACUGGAUGUCGGUCUCAACUCGGAGAUCAGUGUCGAAGCUAACGCGUUAAGUUCGCCGCCUGGGGGAGUACGGUCGCAAGACUGAAACUCAAA